rfam:Escherichia coli ISC11, WGS project CBWP01000000 data, contig: c17
UAUUCUUCCUAUGCGGGAAGGAUGAGAAGCUUCGACCAGGGUUCGAUUCGAGCGUUAGCGAGAAAGCGUUGCCGCAGGCAACGACCCGAAGGGCGAAGCGCGCAGCGCUGAAGUCAAUCCUUCCCCCACCACCA